UUGAGCUGCCUGCGGUGAAAGCCGCACGGGCAGUUCUCAGGGGGACCGGCGGGGAACCCGCCGGUCCUACCCGAC
rnacentral:ncRNA from 1 species